CCUACGGGGAGCAGCAGUGAGGAAUAUUGGUCAAUGGACGAGAGUCUGAACCAGCCAAGUAGCGUGAAGGAUGACUGCCCUAUGGGUUGUAAACUUCUUUUAUAUGGGAAUAAAAUGUUCCACGUGUGGGAUUUUGUAUGUACCAUAUGAAUAAGGAUCGGCUAACUCCGUGCCAGCAGCCGCGGUAAUACGGAGGAGCCGAGCGUUAUCCGGAUUUAUUGGGUUUAAAGGGAGCGUAGGUGGAUUGUUAAGUCAGUUGUGAAAGUUUGCGGCUCAACCGUAAAAUUGCAGUUGAAACUGGCAGUCUUGAGUACAGUAGAGGUGGGCGGAAUUCGUGGUGUAGCGGUGAAAUGCUUAGAUAUCACGAAGAACUCCGAUUGCGAAGGCAGUUCACUGGACUGCAACUGACACUGAGGCUCGAAAGUGUGGGUAUCAAACAGGAUUAGAUACCCCAGUAGUC
rnacentral:rRNA from 1 species